rnacentral:lncRNA from 1 species
UCUUUCUUGUUCCUCAAGUAAAUCCACUUGUCCUUGGAGGUAUGUGAAAUACCUUAUAGCAUUUUCCAGUACAGAAGCUUCAUCCAUUUCUGCAAACAGAAAGAAAGAAAGAAAAAACACAAAACAACAGAAUAUUUAAAUUAUUAUGCUUAAAUAUUUUGAUUCUUGAAGUCUAUGUGGAGAGAGAGAGAGAGAGAGAGAGAGCUUAGUGUAUCUUCUUCGGAUGCCCUAUGUUUGCUACACAAUCGAACUCGGAUAAAAUAGACUGGUGGAAACUAUUUUUCAUAUUUUUCAUGUAAGCACGUGGAAAUCGAGCGUAUUUCUUUAUUCAUAAUUGUUGCAAAACAAUGAUGACACAAUGAAGUAAUUUUAUUUUCUUUUGAAAAACUUUCGAGUCCCCACUUUUCUUUGUAAAAACUAUAAAGUUUCUCAAGUCACGGUCUCACUUUUACAGUUUUAUAUAUAUAUAUAUUCUCUCAUUAUAGUUGAACCCUUUUCUAAAUGUAUUAAAGAUUGUUAACUUCUAGUUCAUGCUUAUGUUUAUUGUGUUUUUUUCCUCUUCUCAUUGGUAUCAUCAACAUAUAGUAGUUAGCACAUUGUUUCUAUACCGAUUCUCAUAUAAGAAGUUCAUUAGGAAAGCAUAAAAAUACUUAUUUACCUCAUUUUAGAAAAAAAAGUUAAGAAAUACAAAAGUGUGAACCAAUAUACCGACAGAAACCAUCAUCGUAGACUACUGACUAGAAAUUUACAUUAAUUAAUGAAAUAUUGAGCAUAGUAAUGUAACAAAAAAUGAAUUCAUGUGGAAUGGAACUCGAACAGUGGCUUAAGUGUUUGGGAAAUCUAUAAAAAGUGAUUAUUAAGAAUCUGUAUUAUCUAAUAGCAAAUUUUGAAAAGUAGCAAAAUGGUAGAAUUUCAUAUUGUGCUUUUAACUUUCCCAAUACAUAUCAUUAAUAUAUUAAUUUAUAAAACUCGUAAGUAUACGGUAUCACUGAUAAGUAAUAAAAUAAUGAGUAAGAUAUCGUUCCCAAUGGACGAAUAGCAAACUUGUAAAAAGAUUUUAUAAUAAUUAUCUAAAUAAUUGUUCUAAUGAUCAAAUUAUGAUGGUUUUAGGAGAGAUGAUUAUUAAGAUUUCAAAUCCCAAUUGGACUUUGAUACCAUUUUUAAGCGAAAUACACUUCAAACCUUGUAAAAAUGGGGCUCAGUCAAACACCCAUCAAACACCAACCAUAUGGGCUCAAACCCACAACUACCUUCGUUUGGUUCCCACUAAGUUGCACUCACAAAGAACACAAUAAUGACUUGCAACCACGAAGGAAGAGAAUAGAGGAAGCAAUUCGAAACUUAAGAGAAACCGAAGACGGCUGUGCUCACGUUCUCUCUCAAAUGCAAAAUUAACACAUGGCUUCCAAGCAAGAAGAAUGAUGGAUAUAUAGUCUUUGGUUUAGGUCAUCUCCAAUUGGGCCCAAGAUAAUUAAAUGGGCCGCAACAAAUUAUCAAGCUAAUGGACCAACAACCCUAUUAAAAGGACCACCAACAAAAAGAUCAACACAAAGACAAUGAGCUAACGCACAUGGGCCAUCCAAAAGUGAAUUGGGACAUGAGUAACUUUAAUUAAUUAUGUCACUUCCAAUGGCCCAAGUUGUUUCCAGGUGAGCCAAUCGCUAUGGUGUUGAUAUAUUUAUCGCAACAACAUUUUAACAUCAUCGCCCAGUCUAGUUAUGACCCGAGUAAUCCUAGUUAUUGCAUGCGCAUUUGUGUGAAAAUCCCAUUUGCAUGAAUGGUUACUUGAUUUGGUGCAUUAUUUUUUGUACUGGAUUUCAAUAUGGUUGACGUGUAUUUACAUGAAUUUUAGAGUGAUCUUAUUACUGCAUGUAAUGUGUUUGCAUGCAUAGUGGUUGAGAUACAUUAGCAUUAAGUAUAUCUAUUGAUAUUGUAGAGUAUGGACGUUUGAUGGUACAUUGGUAAUAUGUACAAGGGAUGUAGAGAGUGACAUUUGGAUCACGAGAAGUGAUGUGAUUAAAUGUUAGAAUCCUUUAUUUGUGAAAAUCCUAAUUGGGUGGAGUGUGAGAGUGACACUCCUAUCAUUUCUAUUAUGCGGAGAUCUAUUAUCCAUUUAGGUUGAGAGAUAUGAGGUAAUGAUAGAUGAACAUCCCAUGGACUUAAGAUCUACGGUGGUUUAUCAGUUAGAUAUGACUAGUGACUAGUUUAGUGAGCAUGGUUGGUGAUGAGAGGAGAUGUGUUCUCGAGAUGCGAAUUGCAUGGAAUCAAGUAGGAUAAUUUUGGUGAGAUCUUUUUGCGGGAUCAUUUAUGCAAUUGUUGUAUAUGUUGGUUAUUUUGAUUAAUUAAAUUGGAGUUAGUCUGAUGUUUUUUACUACGUGAACUUGUUUGAAAAGAUCUUUGUGUUUUCCCAUAUUUUCAUCGCAUGUUUUAUAUGCUCUUGAUUGACACCGUUACUUGAAUGAAGCUAGAUCUUGCGGAAUCAUAUUGAAUAUUAGACGAUACUUUAUGUUAACGUGAUUAUAUAUUUUCUGCUUGGAUUUUCUUGACCUUAGCCCUUGUCAGUACAUGGAGUAGUAUGGUAUGUGUUUCAGGUUAGGUCUGUGAUUCCAAUUUUAUUUUGUUAUGUUGAUUAGGUAAGCAUAAGCUUUAUGUUGCUUGCUUGUAGGUUUAUUGGGUAUUAAGGUGGAGAUUUGUUGAUUUUUUAUAUCCAAUAAAUUCGAGCGAUGAUGCUAAAAUGUUAUUGAGAUAACUAUAUCAACACCACAGUGAUUGGCACGACCUAAAAACAUCUUGGACCAUUGGAAGUGACUUAAUUAGUUAUAGUUUCUCAUUGCUCAAUUCACUUCAGGAUGGCUCAUGUAAGUUAGCUUAUUGUACUUUUUGUUGGUAAUCCUUUUAUUAGGUUUGUUGGCCCAUUAUCUUGGUAUUUGUUUGUAGAGUCAAUUUACUUGUCUUUGGCCCAAUUGAAGGCGACCUAAACUAAAGAAUAUAUAUAUCUAUCAUUCUUCUUACCUCGCAGCCGCGUGUUAAUUUGCAUUUGAAAGAAAAUGUCAGAACAAGCGUCUUUGGUUUCUCUUGGGUUUACAAUUGCUUCCUCUAUUCUCUUCCUUUGUGGGUGCAAAUUAAUCACCAUUAUUAUGUUUUUUAUAAGUACAAUUCAGUGGCAACCGAGUGAAGAUAGUUGUGGGUUUGAGUCUCAUAUGGUUGGUGUUCAUUUGGUGUUUGACUGAGCCCAAUUUUCACAAGAUUUGAAGCGUAUUCUGCUUAUACCACUUUUUACUCUAUCUUAAUACAAUUUACAAUAUCAUGAUAAUAUGUAUGUAUUCUUAUUGAUCAAUGUUACUAAGUUAGAGCAUGUUUGAGCCCCAUUUUCUUUUGAAAAUGCAUUUUGGAAUAAUAGGUUGAUGAAGAAUGUGUAGUUAAAAAAUAAGAAUAAGUUUUGAGUUUGUAAAUUAUUUUAUUGAAAAAUGUGUAAUUGAAAAGAAGAG